rnacentral:rRNA from 1 species
AUUGAACGCUGGCGGCAGGCUUAACACAUGCAAGUCGAACGAGUGGCGGACGGGUGAGUAAUGCUUGGGAAUCUAGCUUAUGGAGGGGGAUAACUACGGGAAACUGUAGCUAAUACCGCGUACCAUAGGAUGAGCCCAAGUGGGAUUAGGUAGUUGGUGAGGUAAAGGCUCACCAAGCCGACGAUCCGUAACUGGUCUGAGAGGAUGAUCAGUCACCCUGGGACUGAGACACGGUCCAGACUUCUACGGGAGGCAGCAGUUGGGAAUCAUCCGCAAUUGACGAAAGUUGACGGAGCAACGCCGCGUUAGAGAUGGCGGGCUUUGGGUUGUAAAGCUCGUUAAGCGGGACGACGGUACCGGCAUAGAAAGCCACGGCUAACUACGUGCCAGCAGCCGCGGUAAUUC